rnacentral:lncRNA from 1 species
AAGAAAAUACCUAGAACUAAUGGAUAAAGCAACGAAUUAGGUGAAAAACUCAAAGAAUCAAACUAACUCUAAUCAAUACGAACAAAACAUAACCUAAAUUACCAAACAGAACCAGAUCAGUGAGUAAAAAAAUCACAUAUCUGUAUCAAUUGAGUUGUUAUUUUACAUUCCGUUCAUAAAAUGCCCACCUCGGUGUCUCGAGUUCUAAUUUAAAACUAAAAAAUGAAUAACAGUCAAAUGAUUUACCGAAUCAAAACAAACUCCGUUCAACUUCAUCAUUUUUAACCAAAUCUACAAACAACAAAUGACAGAAAGUAAAACAACAUGAAAAAUAGGUAUUUUUUAUUUAUUGAACUUCUAUAUCUAACUCGAGAAGACCUCUCGUGAAUUCACGCCGACCUCGGGGUCGUUUGUAGAAGUGUAGAUUUACAAGUUCAAUAAAUUUUCAAAUCAAAAUAUUCACAUAAGCACACGAUAAUAGAAAACAUUGAAAAGAAUAAAAUCACAUUAACACAAACACUCAACAGAAACAUCGCGAAUGGAAGUAGUAUUAACAAGGAACAAGGAACAAACGAAAAUGUACCGAACAGAAGCGAGCAAGAGCGCAAGAACUCGAGUUUACCGAAAAAUGCGAUGAAACCCUAGAAAUCGCGUUCGCUCUAUCUAUUCUAGAAAAACACAAACUCAAAAGUAUAUAGUGUAUCUCUGUAAAAGUCUGUGGAAGUUUGUGUUCCCAUUUACAUGACAAAAGCCCCUUUAUAUGGGGUUGAAAAGAAAAGAGAAAAGAAAGGGAAAAGAGGAAACUUGCUCGUGACGAUUUGAGGUUCUGAUCGGACGAUCUCCGUUUCGCUCUCUCGCGAUGUAUGCAUAUUGGCCCUCCAAUCAUCUUCAACCUCUGAUUUAAGCUCUCACACGUGCACUGUGAAGUAACUCGAGCUUAUUUCAUCUUCUCAUUUCUUCUUGCGUAAAGCCUUAGCUCCUCUCUAGAAUGACGUGCUCUUCCUCUUUCUUUUUUAGUUCGCACAAGCUCUAGAAAUUUUCUGCCUGAAUGUGUCGCGAAGGCAAAGACCCUGCAGCUGCUGCCAAGUCAUCCAAUACGCACAAAAACUGUGUCGUUCCACUUAACUCAGCUGUUGCGUUUUGAUUAAAUGAGCUCAGCCCACUUCAUUCUUCAAGCAACCCAAUAAUCUCCAAGCUUGGCAACAAUGCAAUCCAUGGUAGAAGCAAAACGGUGCCGUCAGAUUUAAACAAGAGCCUAGCCAGAGCUUUUCUGUAGUGGCAGCGUUCCAGUUGAAUUGGCAUCAGCGGCCCAAUUCAAUAGCGGCCCAAUUCAAUAGCGGCCCAGAUCAAGUGUGGUGCAU